CGACGGCAGCACGGGAGCAAUCCUGGUGGCGAGUGGCGAACGGGUGAGUAAUGUAUCGGAACGUACCUUUCAGUGGGGGAUAACGUAGCGAAAGUUACGCUAAUACCGCAUAUUCUGUGAGCAGGAAAGCAGGGGAUCGCAAGACCUUGCGCUGAUUGAGCGGCCGAUAUCAGAUUAGCUAGUUGGUGAGGUAAAGGCUCACCAAGGCGACGAUCUGUAGCGGGUCUGAGAGGAUGAUCCGCCACACUGGAACUGAGACACGGUCCAGACUCCUACGGGAGGCAGCAGUGGGGAAUUUUGGACAAUGGGGGCAACCCUGAUCCAGCCAUGCCGCGUGAGUGAAGAAGGCCUUCGGGUUGUAAAGCUCUUUCAGCCGGGAAGAAAUCACAUGGGUUAAUACCCUGUGUGGAUGACGGUACCGGAAUAAGAAGCACCGGCUAACUACGUGCCAGCAGCCGCGGUAAUACGUAGGGUGCGAGCGUUAAUCGGAAUUACUGGGCGUAAAGCGUGCGCAGGCGGUUUGUUAAGAUAGGCGUGAAAUCCCCGGGCUCAACCUGGGAACUGCGUUUAUGACUGGCAGGCUAGAGUAUGGCAGAGGGGGGUGGAAUUCCACGUGUAGCAGUGAAAUGCGUAGAGAUGUGGAGGAACACCGAUGGCGAAGGCAGCCCCCUGGGCCAAUACUGACGCUCAUGC
rnacentral:rRNA from 1 species